rnacentral:sRNA from 19 species
GUCAAUAACCCACCACUUACGAACAAAGUUCGUUGAAGUGGGGGCUUGUGAAAACAAACCUUUAUUGACUACCCUCAGUCCUUCAAGGACUACGUUGGUUGAGUUACGACACCUACGGAUGCUCCUCAAGUCCGUAGCAACUGUC